GACAGAGUAAUUUUCUGAUUUGAUUAUUUUGUAUUUUUUAAUUUUCUUAAAAACAGAAAAUAAUAAAAAAUGUAUUAUAUUUUUAAACUAAAAUGAUUACAUGGACGUCAUUCUGUCUACUGAUAUGAUGCCUCGUGGAAACUACCCAAGGUACAGGUAAUUCAAUGUGCCAUUAAUUUUCGUCAUUAACCAUUUAAAGAUGGUGUGACAGGGGGAGAGAAGGAAGUUGUUCUAGUGUCGACCAAAUUUGUGAUGCGUGCAGAAUAUGGAGUGCUCGGCGAUUGUGGAGAUGCCCUAAGAGAACAAGGUGUGUAAGGGGAAAUUCAUUAGAACAUCACAUAUUUUAACUUUUGGCACUCGAUGAACAAGCAUGUUUAAUGGAGGUGGUUGAAAUGUGUUCUUAAGAAGAGAGAGAAAAGAGAUGGUAGAGAGCAGAUUUAGACUGGCGCUUUAUAUUUUGUUAGUGUUGAUGGCAUUUAUGGGGAAGGUUCAGGGAGAUCCAACGUGCAGCCCAGCGGGGAACUUCUGGUGCGACAGUGGGCGGUGCUGCAGCAUAUAUAACUGGUGUGGAAGUACAUCAGACUAUUGUGCAUCUGGGAAUUGCCUUGCUCAGUGCUGGCCUAACGCGCUUGCACUUGAUAAGUCUAGUUUCGAAGUAGCCCGACAGAACCUCACCUCUGCUUCUCCAUAGCAAACCAUGACUGCUAUCUGUUUGGUUGCAGAGUAUUUAACUGUUAGAAAUCAGAAUAGGUUAUCAGAACUAGUUAAUAGUUUGUUAAAUUUGUGGAGCUCUAUCAAGAUAAUAGAUUAUUAUGUGGUUGCAGUUAUGUGUACUAAGAUCUGUCUGGAAUUGCAAUACAACAUUAUUUUCACUGUGUUUUUUCUAUUUUCAAAGAGGUUAGCAGAGUGCCCUGUUUUUAAAGUUUU